GUUUGGAUCAGGCCAUCCAAACACGGAAACCAUAAAGUAAUUGUUUCAUAAAAAAACCGCUCUCCGUGUUAAAAUUUCACUUUAAAAAACUUUUACUUUAAAUUUCCGUGUUUGGAUGGCCUGAUCCAAACACGGGUUUCGACCAAUCAGAGCACGCGUUAUAUACAUGUUAUUUUAUAAUUUGACUUGCAAUAUAUAAGACUUGUUAACAACUCUGACUGAGGGAACAAGCAGUGUGAACACAUCCUGUCAUUGGUUUGACAACAACUUUUUUGCAAAUCUGUAACAACUUGCGCAUUUUACUAUGUGUACCCACCAGCCAUAGCCAGA
rnacentral:lncRNA from 1 species